AUCUCGUGAUCACACUAUUUGCGUCACAUUUGAUCUGGACAGGAAGACUUCUCUAUGUAAGUUUGUUUAACUAGUCUUCAAUCUACCAUUGAUAUCGAAACAAUAUAAUCAAUUUAGUUAAGAUUACAUACAGAAAGUAUACAUAUGUUAUAUCUCUAUUUGCAUUUGAAUUUUAGGAAAACAUGUUCCACUAAAUAAAUAAUAAAAUUUUGAUUUACUAAGAUAUUAUAAUGACUGAAAAACAAGUAAAACAAAUAAUUCAAAACAAUCUGAUCUGCAAAAGUGUAGAAUCUUAUCUAUCAAUGUUUCCUCUAGAGGCCACAAUAUUUCAAUAUGGAACUAAAAGAAAGUUCUAAAAAUCAAUUUCAAAAAGUAAUAUUUCACUUUUUUAAAUGGGGGUAUUUCGAACGAAUUUAUGUAAGAUAAGAUCAAUCGUAUCAUAAUUACCAUUGCUAACAAUUACAACAGUCGGUGUUGGUAUCUUUCAAUAUAAUUGCGAGAAUUUGAUGAUCAUAUAUGGAACUAGAGGCUCUAAAGAGCCUGUGUGGCUCACCUUGGUCUUUGUGCAUAUUAAACAAAGGACACAGAUGGAUUAAAGACAAAAUUGUGUAUUGGUGAUGGUGAUGUGUUUGUAGAUCUUAUUUUACUGAACAUUCUCGCUGCUUAUAAUUAUCUCUAUCUAUAAUGAACUAUAGUGAAAAUUGUUAAAUAUUGACUUUAAAGGGCAAUAAUUCCUUAAGGGUCAAUUGACCAUUUUGAUCAUGUUGACUUAUUUGUAGGUCUUACUUUGCUGUACAUUACUGCUGUUAACAGUUUAUCUCUAUCUAUAAUGAUAUUCAAGAUAAUAACCAAAAGCUGCCAAAUUUUCUUAAAAUUACCAAUUCAGGGGCAGCAACCCAACAACCAGUUGCCUGAUUGGUCUGAAAAUUUAUGAGCAGAUAGAUCUUGAACUAAUGAACAAUUGUAUCUUGUUAGAUUUGAUCUAAAUGCUUUGGUUUCAGAAAUAUGACCCAAACACUGCAUUUUACCCUAUGUACUAUUUUUAGCCAUGUCAGCCAUCUUGGUUUGUGGGCGGGGUCAUGGGACAGAUUUUUAAAAUAAGAUACCCUUGUGGACAAGUUUGGUUAAACUUGUCUUUAUAGUUUCAGAGGAGAACAUUUUUGUAAACGAUUACAAAUAUUUACGAAAAAUUGUUAAAAAUUGACUAUUAAGGGCAAUAACUCCUUAAGGGGUCAAUUGACCAUUUUGAUAAUGUUUACUUAUUUGUAGAUGUUACUUUGGGCCAGGUGAGCUUACAAGUAAUAUAACAAAGAUAAACACAAGGGAAAGUUCAAAACAGAAAGUUCUUUAUAAUACGGCAAAAUUGAAAGCCCAAACACAUCAAACGAAUGCACUAUUCAUCAUUUAAAAAGAAAACAACACAAUCACAAUACAGACACCAUGACAUACGGUAUUAAAAAAAAACAAGCAGCAAUACUAAGUCAAUGUUUCAUUUUACCAAAUUAAAUAGUAUUAGUAAUAUAAAAAGAACAAUUCUAUAAGCGAUUUGCCUUCAAAACGUUAAUAAUAAGAUUACAAACAAAAAGAUUUAGAUACUCUGCAAUUACCUACUGAUUAGAAUCGUAUAUGAGUCAGCACAAAUAUAAAUUGAAGAGAUUGUUUUUGUCAUUAUAACUUGUUUCGUAAUUUGACAUUAAGUAGAAUACUUAUAUUCUUAAAAGUAAAACACCAAAAAUAUCGAACUUCGAAGACAAUUCAACACGGAAAGUUCGUAAUCAAAAGGCAAAAUCAAAAGCUCAAAUAAAUGAAACAAAUGGAUAACCCCUGUCAUAAUCCUGACUUGGUACAGGCAUUUUCUUAAACAAUGGUGGAUUACACCUGGUUUUAUUGCUAUAUAAACCUCUGACUUGUAUGACAGUCGCAUACAAUUUCAUUAUAUUGACAACGAUAUGUAAACAAACCAUACAGACUAAGUGGUAUGGGCUUUUCUCAUCGUUGAAGGCCGUACGGAGCCCUAUAGUUGUUAAUUUCUGUGUCAUGUUGGUCUCUUGUGCAGAGUUGUCUCAUUGACAAUCAUACCACAUCUUCUUUUUAUAUUAAAGGUAAAAGAGUCAACAAUAGGGACAUUAACAUUGUGUUAUCAUCCUUAUCACUAUAAUACAAACAAUUAUGUAAGAAUUCACAUUAGCAAAAAUAAUAUAUACCUUACGUAUUGAAGAUCAUACUGUCAUCUUGUAAAAAACUCAAUGAGCUGGUUGCGCUUACCUGCGGGAGAUAAGAUAUUCCGAUGUUAUUUUAGAUUAUAUUGGUCCGAGAAAUGACUGACACAAACUCUUGUUUAUCUUAGAAAUAUGACUGUUGUUAUCCAUUCGUUUGAUGUGAUUCAGCUUUUGAUUUUUCUAUUUAAGUACAAACUUUCUGUUUAGGAUUUUCUAUGAGUUCGGUAUUUUUGUUAUUUUACUUGAUAAUUAUCUAAAGCUUGACAUUCUAUUUUACAAAAUGAUAAUUAUCAAGGACGUAUUAUAUUAUGUUUUUAUAACAAUGCGGAUGGUAAGAUUGACAAUCAGACAACUAUCCAACAAGUGUUCAAAUGAUGUGAAUGUAGCUAAUUUAAGGCCACGAUACAGCUUUAAAAAAUGAACAAAAUACCUACCGUAUAUUUGGGGACAAAAGGCCCAAACAUGAACAAUGUGAACAAAUUCAAACGAGAAAACCAAUGGCCUUAUGAAUAACUUUUUUUCUUACGAAAAUUAAUAUUUUAUAUUUUAAAGAUGAAUAUGACAGACAGUAUUCAUUAAAAAGGUGUUAUUAUAAAUUAGGACUUUUUUCAAUGUGGGGGCAUUUUAUAUCUGAUUGAACAGUUUUGUUUUUUCUCAUUGUUAACGGCCAUUUUGUUUUGCCUAUAAUUACUUACAUCCACAUCCACAUCUCCUUAUUUUCAUAUUCAUGAUAUUUAAAGUACUCUACUGAUUUCAAACAACAUGGCAUGAUGAUAUUUGAUACGGGACUGGGUAUGUUGUCAUGUUGAUUCCGUCUAAAUAAAUUAAACAAAACAGAAACUCGUCGAACUCUUUGUUCACCUUAAUUGUUUGAUAUGCUUCAAAAAAGAUGAAGUACUUGGAUUCUGCCACUCUUUUAACAAAACAUCUUACGAGUAAAAAAACAACUCGUAAGUUAUUUACAUUUCAGUAUUGUUUACCAUGAUUUCUGUAUUAGUUUUUUUAAAAGGUCUCGCAAAUACCCAAAAAAUAGGUUAUAAAACUAGCUACUACAUAAUUUUGAAAAUUAUUUAAAAUUGAUGGAUUGAUUUCUUUGUCCAGCUCUGAUAAUAGUUUUGUUCGUUCAGUUAUUUAGUAGCUCUACAAUUUUGUUUUAUAUGAUUUAUUGAUUAUGAAAUAUUGUUGUCCCAAAUGUGAUAUUACUGGGUUCAAUUGAGAAUUAUUAUCAUAAGUAUUAACGUUAUUAUUAUCAUCAUUUUCAUUAUUAUUUUUUUAAAUUUAUGAAUAUAAUAUGGACUUAUGCAGUAUAUAUUGCUACGUUAUAGAUACGAAAUAUAACAUUUGAUUCAGUGGAUUGUAUGUGGUUCAAGAAUUAAAGAAAGAAUAAAAAUGGAACAGGUAUAUUUAUCCUAGUUUUAAAAAAAAACCGAUAAAAUAAAUACAACGUUAUAAGCUUAUAAUCAUACUCAAAAAGAUUUAUAUGACCAAUAUAAUUCAAAUACAUUUAAAAGAUACACAAUACAACUUUCUUCUACUAAAUACCUAUUGAUUAACAGUGAAAAGUGAUGCAUCGUUGUUUUUAAUUUUUAGAAGCAGAAAAGAGAAAAUACCAAAUGGAAAACUCAGAAGUCGAAAAUUAACUGAGAAAGCUUUAACAAAAAUGCUAAAAAAACAAAACAAAUAACAGCAUACAACAGUCAACAUACAAACCAAACAACAAAAAAAACAAAAUUCAACAUACAAACUAAAGGCUGAACAACACAAAAACAACAAUGAAGUGAAUGUAAGCAAUUAUAGGCAAUAGUUUGGCCUUCAACAAUAAGAAAACUAAAGGCCUAAUUUAUAAAAAAGAAAUAACGAAAAGAAAUAUGACAGAUAUGAACCAACAACAACACUGUAUGUCAGGCUCCCAACUUUGGACAGGCACAUAAAGAUUGUGGCGGUGUUUUGGAAUUUUACAACUGGUCAAUUUUAAAUGAUAGAGACCUGACCUCUUUUGAUUUGAUGUACUGAUUUCACCAUAAAGAAAAAACUAAGUUCAAGGACAUUGUCAUGUUCCAAUUUUGACUUUUACUGCAUUUGGCUUCUCCUUUAGGUGAGUUAUAGACAAAAAAAAAAGGAUUAAACAAAAUUUUUAGUCUCGACACGUCUAAACUGGAAAUUUUCAUACAAAAUUUUCAGUGUCAUUUAAUUAAGGGGUCAAUAUCCCUGGAAUAAUCACAUCAACAAAUUUUUUAAUCAUGACUUCAAACUAUACAUCUAUCAAUAUGAACUUGUGUCUCAUCUCAAUCAACCAAUCAACCAACCAACCAUUCAAGUUUUCGCCCAUUCCUCCUCCCUCACCAUUUUACCAGAUUUGUUUUGGGGGGAUACAUUUUUUUUAAUCGAAAAUCGUCUAAUAUCCCGUUUAUUUUACUUUCAACGUGCAAUCUGUCUAACAAAAUUAUGCUGUAAGUCAUGUCUUUUCUCGUUAUUAAUAAAACAAAAAAUCGAGUUGAAAAAGUACACACUAUCUGCAAAGGACUAAAUGAAGCAUUCCGUUUAGGUAUAUGUGCUUUUUGACGUAACAAGUAACAAUCACAUGAUGGUCUGCGCAUGUUUCUUAAUUAAAACAGGGAGGUUUCCAAUUUGAAAACAAACUUUCAAUUUUACAAAAGUAAAGAUCAAGAUACAUUUUUCGUUUGAAAAAUUCAUAUUCAUUUUGUCCUAUUAAUUGAAUACAACAUUUCGAUUUUGUUCGUGCUACAUGAUACAAAUAUGUAUAUAAAAAGUUUGGUUUUUUCAGGAAGUGUUAUAUGAGAGAGAACAAGUUCCUCCGUUCAAUGACGACCGAACGGUACUUUCUGAAGAUAACUGUCAGCAGGUUUGUCAUUUUCUGGCAUUGCAUGGGUAUAUUUGUGGAUAUCCGCACGUUUUUUUUUUUAACAAUAUAGAAGCGAAGUCAUUGCCUACUUUAAUUCAGUUAUAAAAUAAGCUUAUUUUUCUAUGGAGGAUUUUGAUUAGGUGCAGUUGAAUUUAUAUUAGGAACGUGAUUUUUAAGCACGUGGAUAUUUGAAGUCUGGAGAGUUUUAUUUGUUAUUUUUCCGUUUAUCAAAAUUAUAAUAUUUUAUCAUUUAAAUUAAAUACAAGAGGACGAAAGUAUUGGGAUCAGGAUUACGGAAUGAGCAGUAACAAAUUGUGCAGUCGGAGAAUUCUAAUAUAAACUGUAGUAACCAGCCUGAGAACACAGUAAUUAUUCUGUUCACAUCUUUAAGACAAUAAAUACACACAAAAACCAAAAUCGUAACAGUACUGCCACAUCGCAAACAUAUUAUACUAGCCAUGACUAAAACUAUGAACAAUUAUAUGUUAACUAAGGAGAUCUACAAUUCAGUUUGACUGUUUGAGACAUACUAAAUUUUGACCCUAUUAAAUUAACCAAAUCACUACUUUACAUUAAAAAAAAUAAUCAUCCAAGGUAAAACAUCAUUUGAUCCGCCUUCCUUUUAUUUUUUGCAUGACAUAUAAAGAAAUAGAAUUAGAAAGUAAAGGAACAAAAUGUUAAUAGUAAUAUACUGUCAACAAUAGGAACUUUAUUUGUAGACAACGACGAUCAACUGCCCGGUGUAUUCUAUAACAUGUAUAAUGUAGUUUUGUUUUUCUAUCUCUAGAUACUGAAUGAUUCGAUACAUGGUAUAAUUACGUUACAUCCAUUGCUGUUUAAAAUAAUUGAUACGCCACAGUUCCAGAGACUGAGAAACAUUAAGCAACUUGGUGGAUGUUACUUUGUCUAUCCUGGUGCGUCACAUAACCGAUUUGAACAUAGCAUUGG
rnacentral:lncRNA from 1 species